GUCCUUCUGCUAGGGUUAGCGUUCUUGUCAGUGAAGAGAAAUCUGAGACAGAGCAAUUGCUGGUUGCAAAAUAACAUCCUACGGUGAGUGUCAUCCUUGUGGUGUUCACUCCAAUUUCUGGAACAUUGAUUACUCU
rnacentral:snRNA from 1 species